GCCUUCGUGGUGUAGUGGUCAGCACGCUAGGCGCGUAACCGAGAGGUCCGUGGUUCGAUUCCUGGCAAGGGCU
rfam:Stegodyphus mimosarum contig110501, whole genome shotgun sequence.